CACGUAGGGAGCAAGCGUUGUCCGGAUUUAUUGGGCGUAAAGAGCUCGUAGGCGGUUGGGCAAGUCACGUGUGAAAUCUCCACGCUCAACGUGGAGGCGCCACGUGAGACUGCCCUGACUCGAGUCCGGUAGGGGAGCGUGGAAUUCCCGGUGUAGCGGUGAAAUGCGCAGAGAUCGGGAGGAACACCCGUAGCGAAGGCGGCGCUCUGGGCCGGUACUGACGCUGAGGAGCGAAAGCGUGGGGAGCAAACAGG
rnacentral:rRNA from 1 species